rnacentral:lncRNA from 1 species
AAGCCCUCUACUUCUGCUCUCUAUCGGCACCUCUCCAAGAUCUGCCUACUAGUGCCUGCCAAACUCCUCUCUGUUCACUACAUACAGAAUCUCUAUCGAACCACACACAUCUCUAUUCGCUAUAGGAUCUUUUAAAGCCCUAAAAUUCUUCCUAGAUCAGGGAACCACUUUUGAUCAGACUCUAGAUGCUUCACGGCCAUCCGAUCAGCACUGCAAGUCUCCUCAGCCACUCAAUCAUGCUCGAUCAAGCUCCAUCAGACCCAGAUCAUGCCCGCAAGCCAACUGCACCAUCUGAUCACAUGCCAGAUCAGAUCGCAGCCAUCCGAUCACAUUCGAUCCAUGAAAUAGUACCAUGGAUGACAAGAAACGGCUCUGAAACACUGUCGGUCCAUGGUGGACAAUGAGAAAUGGGUGAGAAAUGCCAACUUGAUCCACUGCGACCCCCAUGGUCCAUCGAUUCAUGCAUUGCACAUGGACCGCAUGAGAGUCCCAUGCGAAUCGCACUUGCGUGCGCCCACCUGGGCCUAGGCUGCACCCACCUGGGCCUGGGCCACGCACCAUGCGCACUCAUGCAUCUGCACACUGGGUCGUGUGCUUGUGGCUGACCCGUGCACCAUCGCACAUGCUCUCUCCACCAUGACCUCUGUCAGCCUUCGUCGCUUCGAUCUCCAUGCAGAAUUCUCUCGCACAUAACUUCACCGUCUGGACUCUGUUUGGGCUGAACUUGGGUUUGUUGGACUUCAUUUAUCUUUGUGGACCUCGCUGCAGAUUCAGUAUGGAUCGAAUCUUGAGACAUCAAAGCCUAACAAUCUUAAUCUCGACUCGACAUUCGACCUCCUCACAACUCUGAGAGCUUCUGGAUCUCCUCGUCUCUAUGCCUUGGGACAAUCAUCUGCUGAUUAUGGAUGGACAAAUAUGGGUGUCGAGUCAGAUCGCUCGAACCC